UCAAAAAAGAAGAAGAAGAAGAAGAGAUUAAAAAAAAAAAAAAAGAAAGAAAGAAAUUGCUAUUCUUGCUGGGCCCCUUGGACCAUGUGGUAACAGCUCAGCCUCUGGGGAGGUGAGUUUAUCAUGGGGACCAUCAGUCAGUUAAGCUGUUUAAUGAGGCUCCAAUAAAACUCUGAACAGUGCUGCUCAGGUGAGCUUUCCUGGUUGACAGUACUCCAUGGGUACUGUCACACAUUGAUCCCUGGAGGGCAGCAGGUCCUGACGACUUUGGAAGCUUUGCAUUUGGAACUCCUGCCCAGGUUUCGCCCUAUGCAUCUCUUCCUUUGGCUAAUUUUCUGUAUCAUUGCCCUAUGGUAAACCAUAACUGAGCUUCACAGCUUAUAUUGAGUUCUGCGUUCUUUCAGUGAAUUAUUUAAUCAUGAAUUUUGGGUGGUUUGGAACACCCCCCCCCCCCCCGCCCCGCCAUUGCUGUUGAUGUCAAAAUCCAAGGGCAAUUUUGGAGACUGUGCUCUUAGAUUUUGCAGUUUGACUAACUCCAAUACACACAAAACCCAGGUUUUAACACUCUGUGAAGACAUUUUCAUAGCUAGUUUUUUAGAGAGUGGUUUUCAUUAAAUCAUUUUCCCCCCCAGCUACUUCCUGCUAGACUGAGCUUCCUAGAAUGUUGUAUUUUGAUUUGCAGUGAGUUUAUUAGCUUCACACCUAGGAAGUGAUAGUACAUUGGGUCUAGGAGUUGCUUACCAUCUUUAAAGACACAGAGAUUACUUAGUAGACUGCUAUUUCUUCUUAGAAAUUUGGCCGUCUCAGAUAAUGAGGACUUUUGUAAGAUAAUAUAUAAUAUUUGCUUUGCAUUGCAUGACAGGGAUUUUUUGCCUGGUCAGGUUAUUUUCACUGGCUCCUAUCUGUAUGACUAGCUUAGCACCUGUAAGCAUCACCUUGAAGAGCUCUAUCUUGAAUCUAAACCUGAACUCAACAGUUCCUCUUAGGCAACAAGUUCUGAAGGACUUUGAGGAGAACUUAUUUAGUUUUACCUGAUGAAAGUAGGAUUCGUUUGUGUGUGCAUCUUGAUAGAAGCUUUUGAAAAUGCAAUGUCAAGGCAGUAUUAUAUACCUGAUGAGGGGUCACACAAAUCACUGUAAAGAGUGAUUGAAGUGAAUCACCAAGAGUGUUUGAAGCUGCCCAUGACUAACACCAGCACAUCGAUGCAACCUACCAGAAUAGCUAAUGGAAUUAUUUUAGGGAUGUUUAAAAUACUUACUCAUACUUAAGUCCCUCAUAGUUUUGGCAGUAAAACACUUUAGAAUUAAUGGAUUGUUUUCUCCUCCUUUAUCCACAUGUCAUUCAUACAUAGAGCCACCCCUUGUGGCAAGCCGAGCUCUGAAUAUACAACUAAGAAAACAGGCCAGGACCUUACUACUAGCAUGGAACUCCGAGUUCAUCAGAGAAAAACAAAAGCAAGACAAGCUUUUUAAAUAAUGAUCUUUUUAAAAAUCCUAAGUUAGUUCUCCUGUGUUGGGGUGAUUACAUUCGUAAUGCAUAUCAAGUUAUCAACAAUAUUACUUACCAUGAUUUCAGUGGGAAUGAAGGGAUUUGAAGAUAAUUUCGACUUUUUACUUUCCCACAAUAGAUUUAAAAUUUUUGCUUCAAAACCUAAAUCACUGAGCAAAUCCAGCAUUCUUUUUACAUGUAGCUUUAAUUCAAAAGGAAUAUUUUCUCUUCUCUCAAUCCAACUAAAACAGUAAUUAUCAACCCUUCAUGUCACAUUUUAUAGCAACUUAGGGUGCUAGUUUCUAUUAUAUGCUACUAGUACCAUGUUAUAGCUCAUCCUAAUGUAAAUUAUAUUUUAGAUUAAUCCUUAUAUUGUACCUUAUAGAUAAUUACUUAAACAAAAUAUUGUUUUAAUAAUGUUUCAUGUAUAGUUAACACAGGUCUAGCACAAAGUAAUAAAUAUUACAUUUUAUCAUGAUAUUCAAAAGUUAUGAAACUGUGCCAUCAGAGAAAUUUCUGUAUUUGUUUUUAAACAAAUUCUAGAUGCUACGUCUAACUAGCACAUUAGAAGGCGUUCUUACCCUUAGGGAGCUCAUACUGUAGCUGGGAGCGACCCCCACAUAAAGCACUCAUAGGAAAGCACGUAAGAGAAUCCUCACAGCAACGCAGCUGGAGUGCUCCCGGCCUCCCGUUUCUUGGUCAAUGUCAGCAUCAGAUCUCUGUGGCUACAUUGGAGCUGAUAUGCCACACCUAUAGAAGGAAGAUGUUAACCAGAGUGUUUAUGCACGUGAAUUGUUUUUAAAAAAGAAAAGCAAAUAUCAAGUAAAUGUAAAACGAGUAUCAAAGACGUUUAAAGGCAAUAUACAUCGUACAAUGUAAUAGUAAACAAAUGAAAAGCAUUUUAAAGACAAUUGAUAUUUCAUUUUCAUUCUGUCCUCUACAUAAUGAAGUGGUGAGUUCCUAUUUUCCAUGAAAGAAAGAAAAAAAUACGCAUGGAAAGUGACAUAGAUCUAUUGAAAAUUUUUAGAAUGAUUUCAUUAGAGGUAACUUUUUAACAUGGCUUCAGUGUCUUUGAAAGAAGAAGCACUUUUAAAGAAGUUCAAUUCUAUGAACUUGGAUGUGAAUACCAGUAAUACUCCUUUGUGUGCCAGAUUUUAGAGGGGUUUUUGCUUUUAUCCUUGAAUGAAGUUGUUGAAACCCGACUUACAAAUUUAGGCUCAUAGAAGCAGCCUGGGUUAUCCUUAUAAAGUAUUAAAAGAUUAGUUACCCUGUAAAAGUAGUUUAGGUGAUUUUAGAGUAUCUGAGAAAUGCUAUGCAAAACUCAUAUAGUUAAAAUGGAUUUUAUAAGUAUUACCCUGUAUUUAAAGAUUUUCUUCAAUGUAAAACCCUUUAAAAUGUCCUUGAUUUUUUCUUUAAGGGCGUAACACUUUAACUGGCAAUGUUUAGUUUCUUUUUUCAGUGUAAGAUUUUAAUAUCAAUGCCACGGAUGAAUUUGUGAAGCUGAGGAAGACGUGCCAAUAGUAUCAGCAGGUGUUUUUCGUGUUCUGUAUAAUUACACAUGUGUAUCAUGGACAGUUUUAAGCAGCGGUGUUUAAAGAUCCUGCUUAAUUGGCUGUAAAAUAAUUAAAUAUGGUUUUGACUGGCAAAUUUAUAAUUCUCUUAGAUGCAUAAGCCAGUUAGCCUGAAUGUCAGUGCAACCUCAAUUUGGAAAUAUUAGAUUAAUAGAACUAAUUGUACUGAAAAUACAAAGUUUACUCUGAUUAAUAGUCUUAAAAUUCUUCUAGAAGUUUAGUCAGGUAAAUUUAUUUUACUUUCCUUUCUUAAACUUUUAAUUAAAACUUAUUUCAAAAGUUUGAGCUAUUCAGUUCUGUGCUUCGCUUUCUAGUUUCUCAGAAGUAGAGUUCUUGCAAUUUGUCAGUGACUUCGCCUGCCUUAUUGAGUAACUUACCUUAUCAAAAGUAUUAAAAUUAUAUGCCGAUGUGCCUCUGUUUGUAUCUACAGCUGACAGGUACCCUAAACAUCUUCUCUAACAUGUAUUGAUGUCUGCUUAUAACCUACUUUAGUGCUGUGUGAAUGGAUCUAAUAUACCAAAUGUACAUGAUAAAUGUUUUAGCUCUGAUUCUCAUUGAUCAGUUUUGAAAUGAUCAAAUGUUUUAUCUCAGUAAGACACUAAUUCACAUUGAUCAAAUUCUGAAUGAUCAAGUUGACUUGGUUUCUGCUGAACACAAAUUGUAUUAAAACAACAUUACUUGAACAUACUGCCUUCUCUAAUGCAGGAGUUAUGUCACCAGUGGUUACAUUAUAACUAGAGUUAUUGUAUUAUAAAGUUGUCUCCUUCAUAAUGAAAAGUUUACACAAGAAGAAAAGAAUGCGAUAUUACAGGAAGAACAGGGCUUGAGGCAAGGAUUUGGGCUUUUACUAACUAAUUAAAUUCUGCAUUUGUAUUGGGCCUUUUCCCCCCUUUUUUAAUUUGAAGGGCUGUGAGCGAGAAAUAUAGCAGCUGCAGUGGUGACAUUUUAUUCCCCAAGGUCCUUGGAGCCAAGUAACAUCUUGAUUAUUCAGUAAGAGACUUAGUAGUGGAAGAGGCAAAAUUCUGGAUAAAGUAAAUCUACCUGUACCCUUUGUGCACGAGCCUCCUGGUUACAGUUAUGUUUUUAGAAGUUUAGGGUUAUUUGUUGGUUUUUGUUUUUAAAACAUCAGCUCCCCCACGUCAGUUUCCGUAGUAUUUCAUGUCCCCUCUGGAGUUUGCGAAUAUGCUGCUGGAGGAGGAUUUCAGUUCUGAAAUUGAAGAAAGAUGCUUAUGUACUUACAAAUGUACCUUGUAUAUGAAGCUAAUGGCAAAUACACAUUUGGCUGUCACAUAGACUUGGUUAUUGAGAAUACCCAGAUCCUCAGGCAGGUUAUUUAUUAUGUGUUUGGCUUGUGUCUUCCAUCUGUAAAAUGUAAAUUAUAACUGCCAUCUUCUGUAGGGCAUUUAAGCUGAGAAGGUUUAAAAGUUAACUAAGAAAGUUGUCUCUGAUCCUUAUCUAAAACAUAGUCUUAAGUUGUUUGAUUCAGUGUUGUAGAUGAUGUUGUAGAUGAUGCAGUUUUAGGAACGUUGUAGGUGUAGUUCCUUCCGUAUCUCAUCAGGGAGCUGGAGAGUAGUCCCAGCUCCCAAGCUGUUAAUCUGCCUGGUUUGUUUGUCCGUCUGCCUCCCACCAAGCAACAGAUUAGUUCCAAGGAAAAUGAGACCGGCUUUGGAGCAUGCCAGUAUUUGAUAGUAUUUCUUAUGAUACCCAUUUAGAAUUGGGUAUAUUAACAGAUAACUUUGGUAAUUAAUGCUUUUCCCCCCCUUUUAAAAUUGAAGCCCUUCGAAUCAGAUCCGUCUGGUUAGUAUUUAUUUUUAGUUCCUUGAGUUAGAUCUCUAUACUACUUCUAAAUACUAUAGAUAAUGGAAGUAAAUGCCAAGAAACAUUAACCAGAGAGGUUUUCAUCUGCACUAUAUCUCAUGGUCACCACAGCAUUCCACUCAACACAGUGAUAUCCUCCUGAAAAGGGCAGGGCAGAUGGCAAAGCUGAUGGGAAUAUAGGGAUAAAAAGGGCAGGAGCAGGAGCAGGAGUGUGCACCAAGGACAAAGUAUUGUUAGGAAAUAUUGCCUCUAAAAAGACGAUGCAAACUGCAGCCGUCUCACGAACAUGAUCGCAAGACCAAAAGGAUCACUUUGGAAACUUUUUUCAUCACUUCAGCAUAGGGUGUAAAGGAAUCUCAACUGGUGAAGUAAGCUGCUGAUGGUACAGUCAGAUUGGCCGCGUCCUUCCUCAGUGCAGGACCUGGCGUGCUCCUCUCUGCCCUUGCCAUGGCAGUUGGGGUUUGUGGACGUUGCACCAAGCGGCUUCUUUCCUUUCAUAUGAGCAGCUUACGUGUAAACAUGUAAAUGAUCAAACCAUUCUUGUGACCUUAGGUUUGUGGCCGUAUGCUCCUGGAUUCAUGAUUCAUUCUGUGUGAGCUAACAAAUUGUUCUGUCUUCCCCAACAGGAACAUUGCUAUUGAACUUUCUUCUUAAUCAAUAAGAUCCAUUAAGAAUCUAGUAUACCCUACGUGAUUAUAUGAAAUAUUAAUUGCACACUUUGAGUUAAAUGAAGAUUCUGCCAACAUGAUAGCUUAUUUCUUUCCUUGUAUCAUAAUAUUUUAAAUGAGAGUAUUCUGAGUUCUAGGUUACAUGAUAUUUUGGAAUUUGUUUACUGAUCUUUGCUUACUUUAGUAAUUAACUACACAGCUCACAGUUCAAAAAGACAUUUGAGACUCCAAAGUUUGUCCUCUUGACAAUUCCAGCUAGAAUUCAUUUACUUUUUAAGGGCUCCAGUUAAAAAUAAUUUCUUUGAUUUUCCUUUGAUGCUUUCAAAGAUAAAACAUAUUUUGCAUUUUGAGUGCAACUAAGCCACAGGUAGAAAGCAGUAAAGCUUGUAGAAAGGCCAAUUAGAGUUAAUUGUCUGACUGACCUGCCCUGUUAUAAGAUGUCCAGAAAGACUUCUAGAAGGUAGAAUUUAAAUUCUGUCCUUGUGUCAGAUAUGCCAAGUUAGCAAUCUUAGGACUUGAGCAUAGUUAAAAAUUGUAUCAAAGAAGUCAUCUACACAUAAAAAUGUAGCUGAGGAUAGUUUUUAGAACAUUGCAUGGGUUCAGCCAUAGCAUAACAUCUAAUUAUGUUUUAUCACUCCAGAGUUUGGUAAGCCUAUUCCAAAUGCUGUCAGUACUUCCCUGGUUUCAGCCAGAUAAUUCACUUAUGAAUGUAUUUGGCUGCCCAUUCACUCUGCCUGGGGUUAAACCACAUACUCAAAUUGAAACCAGAACUUUCAGGAUACAUUGUACUUAAACUUGUAUUCUUGUUGCUCAUAUGAAUGUAUAAUUACCAAGUCACCCCUCAUGGUUUCAGUCUUAUCAAGGAUUCUUAUUUCUGGCUCUUCUCAUUUUUCUUAAGACAUAAGCAAACAAAAUGCAAAAAUUGAUAAAUUGGACCUUAUGAAAUUUUAAAAUUCUGCCUAUCUUAAGACAUCAUUAGGAAAAUUUUUUUACUGGGCAAAAGACUUGGAUACUUCAAAGGAAGAUGUAAGAAUGGCCAGUUAGCACAUGAAAGAGGUUUCUACAUGAUUAGAUAUCAGGGAAAUGCACAUUUGAAACAUAGGAAUGGAGAAAAUCAGGAAGACUGACAAUACUAAUUGUCUGGAAGAUUGUGGAGAAACCAGAACUUGUACUUUGCUGCUGGGGGUAUACAAUGGCAAAAGCCCUUUGAAAAAAAUAUUGGCAGUUCCUUAUAAAUGUAAAGCAUACAGUUGCUAUAUGAUGCAACAAGUUUAGUCCUAAGUAUUGCCCAAAAGAAAUGAAAAUAUACGUCUACAAAAAGACUUGUGCACCUGUGUUCAUAGCACGUUUAUUCAUAGUAUCAAAAACUAUCAGCAAUCCAACUGGUCACCAUUAAGGGAAUGGAGAAACAAAACCCACAGUAUUCCACUCAACUCAGUGGUAUCCUGCAGAAAGGGACAGGGCAGAUGGCAAAGCUGAUUGAAAUAUAGGGAUAAAAUCUGCAGUGUUCUACUUUAUAUUCAUACAGUAGAACACUGUUCAGCAGCAGAGCAGAGCAAGCUACUGAUACAUGUAACAGCACGAAUGGAUCUCAAACAUCAUGCUACACAAAAAGAAGCCAGACACAAAACGGUACUUCCUAUGUGGUUCAUUUAAAUGAAGUUCAAAAAUAGGCAAAAUAUGCCUUUGGUGGGACUAGAGGAGAUUUGAUUGGAAAGAGACACAGGCAGCAUUUCUGAGGUUUGGGGAAUAUUCUGUUGUGUUCUGUGUGGUGGCUUUACAAGUAGAUAUGGGUAUGUAACUUCUAAUACAAUAUGAACACUUGAUAUCGGUAUGUUAUGAUAUACAGGCUGAGCAGCCCCAAUCUGAAAACCCCAAAUUCUCCAAAAUCUAAAACUUUUUGCGUGCCGUCAUGAUGCCACAAACUGAAAAUUCCACACCUGACCUCAUGUGACAGGUCACAGUCAAAGGCAGGUGCACGGUCAAAUGCAGUUUAUUCACUGUCCCUCAGAAAAAAAAUGACCUUCAGGCUAUGUGUAGCAUAUAUGAAAUGUAAAUGGAUUUCAUGUUUUGGUCUGGGUCCCUUCCCCAAGAUAUGUCCUUAUGUAUAUGCAAAUAUUCCAAAUUCCAAAACUCACAUUCAAAAACACUUCCAUUCCCAAGCAUUGCAAGUAAAGGAUACUCAACCUGUACGUUAAUUAUACCUACAACACCCUAAAUUCAGUUAGGAAAAAAUACCACAGAUAUUGGGAAUUCCCAGCUUCUGACUGUGGGUAAAAUGUUUCUUCAAUUUAAUCACAGUCUUAAAUAAAUGAUUCCUAAUCCUAUCCAUAGUCAUGUUUUUUUCAUUAGAAUUUGAAUCCCUUAUCUCAAACUCAGGGCUGUUCAUUCAGGAUAUUUUAUUACUAUAGAAAUAGAGAGGGAUAAAUCUUGCUUAUAUUUCAUUUAUUCAUUUUCUUAAAGAAUCAGUCUUUUUUCCACCGCAUGAAGUUACAUAUGCCUGUUGUACUCUCCUCUUCAACCUAGGAGCCUUGCAGGUAGGCUUGGUUAAGGUUUGAAAAUCACUUUUGAUAAAGGGAUUUCAAAGGCAGUAUUUGUGAAUGAAGCAUUUGUACAGUAGCACUGGUACUUUUUAAUAUAAUAAUCAUAUGCAGUAAUUUAUUCAUACUAUUUAUUGAGUCCUGGCAGAAUGCUUGAAAACUUGUAAAAGCUUUUCGUCUUGGCCCUUCCUUACAUGUUGAAAUGAAAGCACACAUGUUCAUAUGUUAAAGUGUCGCCAAGCAUCCCCAGCUUGCUCACAUGCCUGCCUUAAGUUAUUUCAUGUGCUUUCUCAUUCAGUGGCCAAUAGUUAAAUUGCUGUGUUCCUUUUGUGAAUGUGUAUGUCUAAAUGCUGGUAAUCAACUGAAUCCCUGGAAAUUUGAUAAAUGUGCUCAUUAAGGAGAGUUCUUGCUCUUGGCUCCAUUUCACAAGUCACCUCAGCUAGUGUUUCUGGAUGGAGCUGGCUAGAAACACUGUGCAGUGAUACAUCUGGCUUUAUACUCCUUUUCAAGGACUAAAACCUCCUUUUUUAGUAUGUUAAACAUGCAUUGUAGGGAUAUUGCAAUUACAAAGAAGUAUGCUAUUUGCCAAUUACGUUAUUUACACAAGAAAGACCAAGGGCUGCUGCUGUGUGGUGGGAUUUUUAAUUUUUUAUGCACUGCCAGUUGCUCCUCCUCUUGUUCUCUUGAGCAUCUGAAAUUACACAAAUACCUAUUCAUUUGUGAGACAGAGCCAUCCAUGCAGACUCUGAAGUUCACCAGUUCGCCACUGGCAUAGAGCUCAACAAAGCUGCCUGUGUGAGAGAUGCACUCAGCAUGGU